rnacentral:rRNA from 1 species
UACGUAGGGAGCAAGCGUUGUCCGGAAUCAUUGGGCGUAAAGCGCGCGUAGGUGGCCCAGUAAGUCCGUUCUGAAAGUCACAGGCUCAACCUGUGAAAGCGGAUGGAUACUGCUGGGCUAGAGUCCGGAAGAGGCGAGUGGAAUUCCUGGUGUAGCGGUGGAAUGCGCAGAUAUCAGGAGGAACACCAACGGCGAAGGCAGCUCGCUGGGACGGUACUGACGCUGAGACGCGAAAGCGUGGGGAGCGAACAGG